rnacentral:tRNA from 1 species
GUUCUUAUAGUUGAGUAACAACGAUGGUUUUUCAAGCCAUAGGGCUAAGUUAAAGUCUUAGUAGGAAUG